AUGAUGAAAAUAAUAAUAAUAAAUUGUAUAAAGUCAAUCUCAAACGAAUAAAUUGAUAGAAUCCGUAGAUUUUUUUUUUUGUUUAUCAAUGUUGGAUGUCAAGAAAAUUGGUAAAUAAAUAAGAAAAUGUCACGUUAAUUGGUGGCAUUAUGUUAUAAAAGAAUUAUAAAGGAAUUAUUUGCAUGUGCAAAAUGAAGUUUACAAUGAAACGUGCAUAUUCAAAAGUAUUUUGUCGAAGAAUUUUAUUUGAAAAAUUAACAAAGCAGAAAUAAUUUCCUGAAAAUAAUAACAUAAGAAUUUUCAUGACAUCACAUAUGGAGAUCUCAUAAUUACAAA